rnacentral:tRNA from 1 species
GGGGGUUUAGCUCAAUUGGGUAGAGACGACUGCUUGUCAAGCAGAAGUGCAGCGCUUCGAGUCGCUAACUCCA